AGGACGAACGCUGGCGGCGUGCUUAACACAUGCAAGUCGAGCGGAAAGGCCCUUCGGGGUACUCGAGCGGCGAACGGGUGAGUAACACGUGAGCAAUCUGCCCUUAGCUUCGGGAUAGCUCCGGGAAACCGGAAUUAAUACCGAAUAUGACUUCGGCCGACAUCGGCCUUGGUGGAAAGUUUUUCGGCUAGGGAUGAACUCGCGGCCUAUCAGCUUGUUGGUGGGGUAAUGGCCUACCAAGGCGACGACGGGUAGCCGGCCUGAGAGGGCGACCGGCCACACUGGGACUGAGACACGGCCCAGACUCCUACGGGAGGCAGCAGUGGGGAAUAUUGCGCAAUGGGCGAAAGCCUGACGCAGCGACGCCGCGUGGGGGAUGAAGGCCUUAGGGUUGUAAAGCUCUUUCGCACGCGACGAUGAUGACGGUAGCGUGAGAAGAAGCCCGGCUAACUCGUGCCAGCAGCCGC
rnacentral:rRNA from 1 species